AUUGAACGCUGGCGGCAUGCUUUACACAUGCAAGUCGAACGGUAACAGGGUGCUUGCACCGCUGACGAGUGGCGAACGGGUGAGUAAUGCGUCGGAACGUGCCGAGUAGUGGGGGAUAACGCAGCGAAAGUUGUGCUAAUACCGCAUACGUACUGAGGUAGAAAGUGGGGGACCUUCGGGCCUCACGCUAUUCGAGCGGCCGACGUCUGAUUAGCUAGUAGGUGAGGUAAAGGCUCACCUAGGCGACGAUCAGUAGCGGGUCUGAGAGGAUGAUCCGCGACCCUGGGACGGAGACACGGCCCAGACUCCGACGGGGAGCAGCAGUGGGGAAUUUUGGACAAUGGGCGAAAGCCUGAUCCAGCCAUGCCGCGCGUCUGAAGAAGGCCUUCGGGUUGUAAAGGACUUUUGUCAGGGAGGAAAUCCCUAGUGCUAAUAACACUGGGGGAUGACAGUACCUGAAGAAUAAGCACCGGCUAACUACGUGCCAGCCACCGCCGUAA
rnacentral:rRNA from 1 species